GAUGAAGAACGCAGUGAAAUGAGAUAAUUAAUGUGAAUUGCAGAAUUCCGUGAAUCAUCGAGUCUUUGAACGCACAUUGCGCCUCAUGGCAUUCCGUGAGGCAUGCCCAUCUCAGCGUUAGAAAAUAUUCUCAAAUUUUAGUUUUGUGCUAAAAUUUGGAUCAUGUCAAGGAAGCUAUUACUAUUAUUGUGAUCGCUCUUUGGAAAUUGAUAGGUCUUUGAGUUGCUACUCAUAGAACGUGAUGAAUCUUUCUUCGUUCUAUUGUAAUUCACUCUGGUAGUCCUAAAACUUGUAUGCCUGUGGCAUAUCUUGUAAUUUGACCUGAGAUUGGGUAGGGAUACCCGCUGAACUUAAGCAUAUCAAUAAGCGGAGGA
rnacentral:misc_RNA from 1 species